rnacentral:rRNA from 1 species
AGAGUUUGAUCAUGGCUCAGGAUGAACGCUAGCGGCAGGCCUAACACAUGCAAGUCGAGGGGUAACAUAGGAAAGCUUGCUUUUCUGAUGACGACCGGCGCACGGGUGCGUAACGCGUAUACAACCUACCUUUUAGCGGGGAAUAGCCCAGGGAAACUUGGAUUAAUGCCCCAUAGUAUAUAGACUUCUCCUGAAGUUUAUAUUAAACAUUUAUGGCUAUUAGAUGGGUAUGCGUCCUAUUAGUUAGUUGGUAAGGUAACGGCUUACCAAGGCAGCGAUAGGUAGGGGUCCUGAGAGGGAGAUCCCCCACACUGGUACUGAGACACGGACCAGACUCCUACGGGAGGCAGCAGUGAGGAAUAUUGGACAAUGGGCGAGAGCCUGAUCCAGCCAUGCCGCGUGCAGGAAGACUGCCCUAUGGGUUGUAAACUGCUUUUACAGAGGAAGAACCACCCCCACGUGUGGGGGGUUUGACGGUACUCUGCGAAUAAGGAUCGGCUAACUCCGUGCCAGCAGCCGCGGUAAUACGGAGGAUCCAAGCGUUAUCCGGAAUCAUUGGGUUU